AAGGAUUACAAAAUCGGGUAAGCAACUACAUCAUGGACAUGGCAGCCCUCCAAGACAACUUCAUUAUCAUCUGUAAGCCUUAUGAAUGGCCAAGUAACCACAGAAGCAGCUGAGAACACUAGAGUUGCCUUAUGGUCCUCUUAAGAAAGUAAUGCACAAAAACCACAAAACGAAGGGAUGACAUUCUUCCUAGAGCCUUCAAGGCAACCGAUGGAGAGGUCUGACCUACUGAGGAAAUGAUCUUAUGGACCCUAGAUCAAAAGACUGGAAAUGAAGCCAAAGACCCAGGGGGAACCUUGCAGCGAGAAGCCCACUGAUGUCUGCCCUUUGUUUCCAUCACCACCCUUGGAUGUCAUUUCCUGUUUUAACCAUAUGUGAGCAAGGUCUUACAGUUGGGAGGACUUAGAAGGCAACAUUCUCAUGGAAGGGAUUACUUCAGUGACGAUUAUAAAUUCAACUGGACAGACAGGCGGCAGACAUCAACAAAGAGGACAAGAAGGAAAAACAUAUGAGAGGACCAAUUGUGAUGCAUGGAAAACUCAGAGGCCACCUGGAACAUUACUAGUUUUAUUCAACAGCUGGAG